CUCUGUGACUCCUACGGGAGGCAGCAGUGGGGAAUAUUGCACAAUGGGCGCAAGCCUGAUGCAGCCAUGCCGCGUGUAUGAAGAAGGCCUUCGGGUUGUAAAGUACUUUCAGCAGUGAGGAAGGCAGGUACGUUAAUAGCGUGCUUGUUUGACGUUAGCUGCAGAAGAAGCACCGGCUAACUCCGUGCCAGCAGCCGCGGUAAUACGGAGGGUGCGAGCGUUAAUCGGAAUUACUGGGCGUAAAGCGCAUGCAGGUGGUUUGUUAAGUCAGAUGUGAAAGCCCGGGGCUCAACCUCGGAAUUGCAUUUGAAACUGGCAGACUAGAGUACUGUAGAGGGGGUAGAAUUUCAGGUGUAGCGGUGAAAUGCGUAGAGAUCUGAAGGAAUACCGGUGGCGAAGGCGGCCCCCUGGACAGAUACUGACACUCAGAUGCGAAAGCGUGGGGAGCAAACAGGAUUAGAUACCCUGGUAG
rnacentral:rRNA from 1 species